GUAACAAGUGGUCAGAAGUAUUUGAAAUGUAUAAACACAAAAGGACGCUACGCACGGCCAAAAUAACAGUGAAAAGGGAUCGAAAAGGGGACAUGACAGAAUGAGGAGUAGCAAAUCUUAGUAGUCUUCCCCAAAAAUGGCACAACUGUGCGUGCGGAGAGACGAAGUGUGGAAGGCGAAGUGGACGUGAACGAGUUGUGGCUCACUCUUUCUGAUUAUAAAAGAUGUCAUUUUAAUUAGUAACCAUUUAGAGAUUGAUUAAAAAUUAGAAGAAAGUAUAGCCACCGGCUGCAUGAUAUUCCCUAAAACCUUUGUGCUAUACAUGAUUUUUAACGUCGAGCCCCUCGUAUAUGUACUUAGUUUCUAGCUCUGCCCUUGUAAGAAGGCUUGUGGCAUUUUGUAUAUUAAACAAUGUCCAUUUUUCAUACCA